GAAAAACAAAUAAACAAAAAAGAAAAUAGUAAAACUGAUGUUUACUUAGUAUACUGUAAUUUAAAACAUUAGAAAGACUGAUACAGUGUUUUGUUUUGUUUUGUUUGAAAAAACAGGGGUAGUCUUCUGAUAUAACUUCUCAUCAUAUAAUAUGCAGUGAGCAUCUUUCCAUACCUUGAUAAAUUGUCAUACACUUUUCUAAGUCUGGAUUAGUUUCUAACAUUUUAUUCUUUACAUUUCCAAUGUCAUGAUAUAUCUCCAAGGGUUCCUUUAAUGUGAACUUUUUGCCAGGGUCAGUUUCCCUGAAACGGCUUCAUCUUUUCACCACAACCUCCUCAUUUUCUUUAUUUAUAUUGAUAAGUUCACCCUCCCUAGCCUCUUCUGGAUGUAUAUCUGUAGUCUCUCAAAUGGCGGCAGUUCAAUAGCAGUAUCAACAUUCCCAAAUCAGCGAUUUCGUCUAUACUCCAUUUACACUUGAUUGAAAUUUCAGUUCAGCAUUUUCACUUUUUGUUUCUUGGCUGCGAUUUCAUCUUGUUUGGUCAAUUUCCUUUUGAAUAUCAAUUUUGUAAAAUAUCACAUAGGUUAUCAGUGGGAGACAAGGAAGAAACAUGCUUUGCUGUCUGUGUGUGAACUGAAUGACAGAUAUACCAAUCACCAACAGACUAUAAAAAAAAGUGAUGUGAUUGGUCAUGAUCAUGACGCACAUAUGUUUUUACGGAGCGAUUUAUGGACUGAGGAGCUAACAGCAAAGUUUGUACUUUAUACAAUUACUGAAAGUUGUUAUACUGUACUAAAUUAAUUUGAACUGAGUUGUUGGGGACUGAUGUUAUUUAACUGAAACAUUGUUACUGAGAUUUAUGAAUAUGGAAAUUAUGUAAAGCAGGGACUGCCUAUAAUAACGAAAAAUUUGCAUAAAUCCAGAAAAAUAAUAGGGCAUUAAAAUUUAACAUACAUUUACUGUUUUCUGCAUAUACAAAUUAAUGUAAAAUCAAAGGAACAAGGUUCUCUUUCUUAGAAGUCAAAUGUUUUCCACUUAAAUUCCUUGACUUUACUAUCAUUCAACUAUAAAAGAGUAGUUGAUCUAUAAUAAAGCAGAGUCCAAUGAUCAAAUUUUGUAUUUAAAAACAAAAAAACCCCUUCACCAUAAAUCAACUAGUAGGUUUUUUUGGUAUCUGCCUUUGCAUUUGUCACUUAAAAAAAAAAAAAACUUCUUAAAGGCUACUAAAGGGAAAAAAAAUUACAGAAAAUAGCCCCUGAUCGCAAAGUGUGACAUGGAGUCAGUAGGAUAUACAAGCCGACAUGAGAUGAUUACAGAACAAAAAAAUACAGCGUAAGUUUCCAGAAAGGAGAAAUCAUUUCCGUAAGAAGUGGGAGACAGAUUCCAGAAGUUGAAGAACUUGGCCUUAAAGUACUGCAGAAUUUAAGUAAGUGAGGGGAGGUGGGAUUUCUCUUCUCUUUCCUAUAAAGUUCAGUCGAAAAGCCAUGAGGAAGAAAUGAGUGAGAUAGCAUCUGUGUAGGAGGCAGCGGAAGCCACAGUGGCCUAGAACAGGGUUUUAGAGCUCAAGCAGCAUGAGGUGUAUCCCCAAAGGGAGGUCAGUCUGGUACAAGGUGUCAGAAACCAGUUGGGCCAGGUGCAGUGGCUCACGCUCAUUUUGGGAGGCUGAGGCAGGCACAUCACUUGAGGUCAGGAGUUUGAGACCAGCCUGACCAACACAGUGAAACCCUGUUUCUACUGAAAACACAAAAAUUCGCCGGGCAUGGUACGUGGUAGCACAAGCCUGUACUCUCAGCUACUGGGGAGGAUGAGGCAGGAGAGUUGUUUGAACCCAAGGGGCAGAGGUUGCAGUGAGCAGAGAUCAUGCCAUUACACUCAAGCCUAGGCAACAGAGGGAGGCUCUGUCUCAAAAAAAAAAAAAAAAGGAACCCAGUUGGUUGAGAAAGGCUUCCACAUGGUAAGGGGAAGGGGUUGUGGCUCAGGGUGUCAGUGCCCAAAUUAAUGUGAGGAGGGUUAUCUGUAUAGGAAUAUGCAGGCAGUAGCAGUGAUGAGAUUUUGGUGACAGGAGUAGUGGUCAAAAAUUAAUAAAUAUAUUAAAAACAAUAGGAGCUAGGAAUUUCUCCAUCAUAGAAUGGAGUUAUAAAUACAGAAAGUGAGAAAGCUAGAACAUUCCCUGUGGUAUUAAAUUGGUAUUGAAGAAAUUAUAAUGAAUCUUUAUUUUAUAAUAUAUAGAGAUACACAGAACUAUAAAUAAUACAGAUUAUGUAUAUAAAUACAUAUAUUCAUUUAUUUACUAGCACCGUCUACUCUUAGGGCAACACCCUAAUAGUUAUGAGCACGUCUAAUGCCCAGAUCCUGGCUUCUCAAUACGAUUCCACACUGAAAGAAACCAGAGUUUCUUGUAAAAUGGCUGAUUCUAGGGCUAGAGCAGGAAAAGUGGAUUAUUCAAGCCAGGAAUUAUUCAAGGAGUAAUAGAGACAGGUCAAAAAGACACAGAAACCAGCUUGUAAGGGUUCCUAUUGGCCAAAUAUGGGGUAGCUGGAAAAUCAAAAAUGGUAGUAACAAAUUAUAACCCAUUGAAUAGAAAACCAUUAGUAUAUAUUGAUAUAAAUUGUUAAAGUGAAUGAUGAGAAAUGGGAUAUUUCAUAGACUCAAAAUAUCACUUCGCAAAAGACUUAUUAGUUAUAAAAAGGAAAAUAGUAACUUUUGAAUGGAUAAGUCAGAUAGAUACCAUGUUAGUCAAAUGUCCAAAGUUAAUAUCACCAAGGAUAAAUUGAAAUCAUGGGCCACAUGAUAGGAUGAAAAAGAUUAUAACAUUGAUUCUGUGAUAUUCCUGUUAAAGAUGCAUAACUGAAAUAUAUUCAUAAAGAAAGAGAGAAACCCAAAUUGGUUUCUCUCAAAGACAUGUUACAAAAUACCCAAAGACAAGCUACAAAAAAAACUGGACUAUAAUCCCCAAAAGUGUCAAGGUCAAUGCAAUUCAAGGGGAAGACUAAGGAACUGUUCCAGAUGGAUGGAAAUUAAAAAUAGGUAAAAACUAAAUCAGAACUAAAUGUAUAGUUCUAAUCUGAAUCUUUUUGCUCUAAAGAAUGACUGAGAUAAUGGUGGAACUUGAAUGACAUCAGAGUACUAGAAGGUAGUACUCUUUUUUUUUUUUUUUUUUUGUUCAGUGAUAGUUUAUUGGUCCUUAGCAUGCAUGACAUCUCAAUUACCAAGGUAAAUUCACAUACACAACUGCAGGUAAAAACAUGUAAAAUAAUAUAAAAAUAAAUUGAAGGCUACUUUUAUAUAUUUACUGAAUUAAGUAGUGUAAUAAAUACUAUGAUAAGCAAAAAGCUUCAAUCACACAAUUCAGUUUCACUGAAGUUACAGUAGUGUUUGUAAAUACGAGUUUUAAAAUUUAAGUUACAAAUAUUAAAGCACUGAAAAACUAGUAUAAAAGUGAAUUUUGGCAUGUAAGUGAGCUCUUAUGUCAUUAGUAUUUGACACCCUGGGACAAUGAGGAAACCAGCUCUCACCUACUUUUUGAGGUACAACUAUCCAACUAGGUCAGCAACACGGCUGGAAUACUUCAUAGCUUACAAUCUUUGAAUUGAACUUUUCCCUUUUGAGAAGCCCAAAGAGCAACCCAGAGCUUAUUACUGUGCAAAAAUUCUCCAAAAUCCUAAUAGAAUUUAGGAGGGAACUUUUUCUUGUGACCUGAGGGGCCCAGUGUCCAGGCCUCAGGUCAGAGAGCCCCCAGGGCUCAGAGGGGCCAGCUCAACUCCUUGCCAAUGGCCCUUCCCUAGGAUAAUAAUCCCAUUUUCUCCAAUUUCUGUCUCCUUCUUCCAAUC